rnacentral:snRNA from 1 species
AGAUGAGAGCAAGAUCUGACUGUGUGUGACAUCUGUCACCCCACCUAUUGCCAUGGUUGAUCUGAUUGAUCUGGCUGGCUACGCUGGUGUCCCAUUCCUCCAUCGCUGAUCCAUGCGUUUCCCUCCUGAAGCUGCAAUGCUCAACAGAAGAGAGCCUUCCCUGAAUUGGGAAAGGCAGGAGGAUGGUAGCUGUACUCCCCCGCUAGAGCUUCUAAGCAAGAUCAUAAGAAGCUGGGACAAGUCUCUUGUAGUCACAGUAUGAACAGCUAGUAAGUCUUACUAGCCUUAGGGAGAGUGGGACAAGCCUAGGAAUAGACUUUAUU